GAAGGGAAACUAAGGCAUAGAGUCACAAGUACUAAACAUGAAGCUUUUGCAAUAUCUCUUCUUCUGAAGUACACAACUUUAGCUACACCCAAGGGACAUAAAUCGUAUUGGAUUGGGGCCCACCCUGAAUACCUCAUCUUAACUUCAUUACCUCUUCAAUGACCUUAUCUCUGCAUCAACUCACAUUCUGAGGUACUGGGGUUAAGACUUCAACAUUAUGAAUUGGUUGGAAACAGAGGACACAAUUUGGCUUGCAACAGAUGUCUUGGCUGAAAUUACUAGCUUGGAUCAGAUGGCUUCAGAGACUGUGUGAAAUGGGAAUGACUUGAGUACACUGAAAUGAACUUGAGAAAAAACCAAUAAAGAAGUUCAAGGAAAGAGUGGGAUGUUCCUGGUGGAAGGAGGUGGUAGGAAAUGAGAUUUAAAGUACAGAUCAAGAAAUUAACCAUGUGACAAAAGAGGGAAAGGAAAAAAGUUUGAAAAAGGAUAUAGAAUCUUUUGUAUCCUUUUAUGGCAGGAAGUCAGGAAAUUUCUUGCUUGAUGGCUCCUAUUUUCUCUGCAAAUUGGGAGGCAAGAACGUCAGCUUCAAAGUGAUGAGGAAGAAUUAAAUAGAUUAGAAAUAGUCUGGAAUAACUGCCAUGGAGAAUGAACGAGAGACGUAUAAAGAUUGCUAUAUCACAGAAAUGGUCCUGAGAAAACCAGUAGGAAAAAUACUUGAUAGUCCCAUAUGAAUGUUUUUUUAAAUUCCUGAUAGAUGAAAGAGUUACAUGUUUUGUAAACAUAUACGAAAAUGUAAAUAUGUAUACAUAAGAAAAGUCAUCAGACCUUGGGAAAGAGAUCUUUCUAAGCAUAAUUAUAUUUUUAAGAAAACAAGGAAAAAAUUAACAAAUUUGACUACAUAAAAAUAAAUAUGUAAUAUCACUACUGGUCAAAAAAUCACCAAAAUACUAAUGAGAAACAUUUUUCAUCUAUAAAAUCAUAAAAAUUAAAGAAUGAUAACAUCUAGUGUUUGCAAGGAUAUGAUCAAAUGUGGGUUGCCACAGCAAUUGAGAAUAUAAAAGCUUAUAUCACAUUUCUAGAUCCCAACUUGGCAAUAUCUAUCAAGAACAUCUAAAGACCAUUUGACUUCUAUUUCUAGAAAACUAAACUAAAGAAAUAAUCAGAAGUAUGCACAGAGAUUAUUGUGUAAGAAUAUUUACUGGUAAAUCAUUUGUAAUAUCAAAAAAAUUGGCAAAAAUUCCUACUUUUUAAUGUACAAUUUGCAAUUGGUUAAAUAAAUUUUGAUGCCUCACACUAUGGAAUACUAUUAGCUAAUAAAAAUCAUCUUGUAAAAUAAAAAUUAAUGGCAUGGAAAAACGCUUGCAAUGUAAUGUUGGGCUAGCAAUGAAUGUGGGGUUGUACCCAGGAAAGAUACAAAGUGCUACGUGCCUUAAAUGAGAGGACCUGGGCCAGUUCAGAAGCCAGGAUGGAGGAAACAGUGUAAUAAAAGGAAAUGGUUUGGAAUUCUGGAGCCUGAGUCUGCUACAAUCUCUGUGCACAUAAAGGGUCA
rnacentral:lncRNA from 10 species